rnacentral:rRNA from 1 species
CCUACGGGAGGCAGCAGUGAGGAAUAUUGGUCAAUGGCCGGAAGGCUGAACCAGCCAUGCCGCGUGAAGGUCAGUGCCCUAUGGGCGUUAAACUUCUUUUGUGCGGGAGCAAUAAUGGUCACGUGUGGCCAGACGAGAGUACCGUACGAAUAAGCAUCGGCUAACUCCGUGCCAGCAGCCGCGGUAAUACGGGGGAUGCAAGCGUUAUCCGGAUUUAUUGGGUUUAAAGGGUGCGUAGGCUGUGAGGUAAGUCAGCGGUGAAAUGCCCCCGCUCAACGGGGUGAAGUGCCAUUGAUACUGCCUGGCUGGAAUGGGGAUGCCGUGGGAGGAAUGUGUGGUGUAGCGGUGAAAUGCAUAGAUAUCACACAGAACACCGAUUGCGAAGGCAUCUCACGAAUCCGCGAUUGACGCUGAUGCACGAAAGCGUGGGUAUCAAACAGGAUUAGAUACCCUGGUAGUC